rnacentral:rRNA from 1 species
GACGAACGCUGGCGGCGUGCUUAACACAUGCAAGUCGAACGGUGAAGCGCCUUCCUUUUUGGUGGGUGUGGAUGAGUGGCGAACGGGUGAGUAACACGUGAGUAACCUGCCCCCUUCUUCUGGAUAACCGCAUGAAAGUGUGGCUAAUACGGGAUAUUCUGGGUCUGUCGCAUGAUGGGUCUGGGAAAGAUAUUGUUUCGGUGGGGGAUGGGCUCGCGGCCUAUCAGCUUGUUGGUGGGGUGAUGGCCUACCAAGGCGGUGACGGGUAGCCGGCCUGAGAGGGUGGACGGGCACACUGGGACUGAGACACGGCCCAGACUCCUACGGGAGGCAGCAGUGGGGAAUAUUGCACAAUGGGCGCAAGCCUGAUGCAGCGACACCGCGUGAGGGAUGGAGGCCUUCGGGUUGUGAACCUCUUUCGCCAGUGAAGCAGGCCUGCCUCGUUUGUGGGUGGGUUGACGGUAGCUGGAUAAGAAGCGCCGGCUAACUACGUG